AAGAGUUAGGGUCCUCGUGGCCCGACCUCCAACCCUUUGUUUAACUAUACCAUGUUGCUUCGGCGGGCCCGUCCCUCUCGGGGGACCGCCGGAGGGGCUCAACCCCCCUCUGGCCCGUUGCCCGUCGACAGCCAUCAAACCAAAACUCUUGAUACAAAACCAUGUCGUCUGAGUCUAAAAUUUUAAUUAAAUUA
rnacentral:misc_RNA from 1 species